UACGUAGGGUGCAAGCGUUAAUCGGAAUUACUGGGCGUAAAGCGUGCGCAGGCGGUUUGUUAAGUCAGAUGUGAAAUCCCCGGGCUCAACCUGGGAAUGGCAUUUGAGACUGGCAGGCUAGAGUGUGUCAGAGGGGGGUAGAAUUCCACGUGUAGCAGUGAAAUGCGCAGAUAUCAGGAGGAACACCGAUGGCGAAGGCAGCUCGCUGGGACGGUACUGACGCUGAGGCGCGAAAGCGUGGGGAGCAAACAGG
rnacentral:rRNA from 1 species